ACCCCGCCCGACUGCAAGCCCCAGCUCCCAGAGGGAAUGAAUGCAGCCCACCCCCCGCGGCCGCAGCGCCCCCCCGCGGAGCCACGCAACCCUGGAUAAAUACGUAAUUAAGUCCCGGCGCUCCCACUCCCGGAAAGGACCUGCGCGGGAUCCGGCAAAUACGGUAGCACGCCCGCAGUGACCCGCCCCCGAGGGUCCGGCUCUGGCCUCGGCCAGGCCCACAAACCGCCCCCAGCGACAGGAAAGAGGGUCGGACGGAGGCGCCGGCCUUUCCCCGGGUGAUAUGGGCUGAGCGCCGGAGCCCGGCGGCGGAGCGGCCCUGGGCGAGGGUUUCAGGACUGGAGACAACAGUCAAAGGGGCCGAAUCGAGGAGCUGCCCUCGCUGACAGUUUCGCCAAAGUCUGCCUGACUAUAUGGCCUGGGUUAUAUCACUAGAGUGACCAGAGGGAAAGGAAGAAGACAUCAGGCCCCUGCUGACCCCACCUCCUCAGAACGGAACCCGCAGUCAAGCCAGAGAUAUCCCAUAAAAGAGCAACUUACGACGUCUGGAGUAGCAGCGGGCGUGAGAGGGCAGAACCAAAUUACAGCUUCCAGCUGCCAUUUAAUGAUAAUGUCCCUUACUCGGACAUAACUUUGCCUUUUACAAAGCCCUUUUCCAUGUAUGAUCUCGUGGGAACCUUCCAAUAACCAUGUGCACCCUAGCUUGUGUGAGUAUUAUCCCAUUUUAUAGACGGGAAAAUAAAAUUGAAACACAGA